AGAGUUUGAUCCUGGCUCAGAACGAACGCUGGCGGCGUGCCUAACACAUGCAAGUCGAGCGCGAAUGGAGCAAUCCUAGUAGAGCGGCGCACGGGUGCGUAACACGUGGAUAAUCUGCCUGGGUGUCUGGGAUAACCAGUCGAAAGAUUGGCUAAUACCGGAUAAGCCCCCGGGAGCUUCGGCUCUUGAGGGAAAAGGUGGCCUCUGUAUACAAGCUAUCACAUCCAGAUGAGUCCGCGGCCCAUCAGCUAGUUGGCGGGGUAAUGGCCCACCAAGGCAACGACGGGUAGCUGGUCUGAGAGGACGAUCAGCCACACUGGAACUGAGACACGGUCCAGACUCCUACGGGAGGCAGCAGUGGGGAAUUUUGCGCAAUGGGCGAAAGCCUGACGCAGCAACGCCGCGUGUGUGAUGAAGGUCUUCGGAUUGUAAAGCACUUUCGACCGGGACGAAAACCCGUUGGCUAACAUCCAACGGCUUGACGGUACCGGGAGAAGAAGCACCGGCUAACUCUGUGCCAGCAGCCGCGGUAAUACAGAGGGUGCAAGCGUUGUUCGGAAUUAUUGGGCGUAAAGCGCGUGUAGGCGGCUUUGCAAGUCGGGUGUGAAAGCCCUCAGCUCAACUGAGGAAGUGCGCCCGAAACUGCAGAGCUUGAGUGCCGGAGAGGGUGGCGGAAUUCCCCAAGUAGAGGUGAAAUUCGUAGAUAUGGGGAGGAACACCGGUGGCGAAGGCGGCCACCUGGACGGUAACUGACGCUGAGACGCGAAAGCGUGGGUAGCAAACAGGAUUAGAUACCCUGGUAGUCCACGCCGUAAACGAUGAGAACUAGGUGUCGUGGGUGUUGACCCCCGCGGUGCCGUAGCUAACGCAUUAAGUUCUCCGCCUGGGAAGUACGGUCGCAAGACUAAAACUCAAAGGAAUUGACGG
rnacentral:rRNA from 1 species